GGUCAGUCCAUCAUUACUUUAAGACAUGAAGGUCAGUCCAUCAUUACUUUAAGACAUGAAGGUCAGUCCAUCAUUACUUUAAGACAUGAAGGUCAGUCCAUCAUUACUUUAAGACAUGAAGGUCAGUCCAUCAUUACUUUAAGACAUGAAGGUCAGUCCAUCAUUACUUUAAGACAUGAAGGUCAGUCCAUCAUUACUUUAAGACAUGAAGGUCAGUCCAUCAUUACUUUAAGACAUGAAGGUCAGUCCAUCAUUACUUUAAGACAUGAAGGUCAG